CACACGACUCUCGGCAACGGAUAUCUCGGCUCUCGCAUCGAUGAAGAACGUAGCGAAAUGCGAUACCUGGUGUGAAUUGCAGAAUCCCGCGAACCAUCGAGUCUUUGAACGCAAGUUGCGCCCGAGGCCAUUCGGCUGAGGGUACGCCUGCCUGGGCGUCACGC
rnacentral:rRNA from 1 species